GGCGAGCUCAGGGGGUCGGACGGCUGCUCGCUGCCGCUGGUGCGUUGGGCGCCGGCGAACGCUGAGACCUCCGGGCAGCUCGGCUAUCUCCGACUCCAGCUCUGCCUUUUCCUCUUCUAGCUGAUCCGUUUCCUGAUGGAGGCCAGCAGGGCCAGGUCAUGGGAGACAGAAGAAAGGAGGCGUUGGUCAGCGGCUGCACGAAGUGGCUCACCCACCACCACACACACUCUAGCUGCUGAGGGGACGCGGGGAGGGCUGGACAGCUCCCUCCCAACUGAGGGGAACGCCCCCUGAGAGGGACUCCUGGUAGGCUACACGACUCGGAGCCUCAGUUUCCCCAUCUGACCAAGAGAUGGUUGGGAAAAGGCCAGACAAGAGUGCAAGUCUCUGAUGGCCAAAAAUUCCAAAGCCGGUGUGGAGGUGAAAACGGCUCUGACCCCAGCAUUCAGAGGCUAAGGCAGCGGUGAGGACUAUGGCUUUGAAGCCUGUACUAAGUAGCACUCUGCCUUAAAGGGGGCGAAGGGGACAAUAUGGCUCAGGCGACAAGCCAGCAAGCCUGACAAACUGAGCUGAUUCCCGGGACCCACAAGGUGGAAGGAGAGAGCCAAGUCUGAAAACUGCCCUCUGACCUCCAUGUGUGUGCUCUGGCACACCUGCACACACUCAAACAUAGGUGAAUAAAUAAAUAAAUAAAUAAAUAAAUGAAACAA